CAGCCGCCGCGGUAAUACGGAGGGUGCAAGCGUUAAUCGGAAUUACUGGGCGUAAAGCGCACGCAGGCGGUCUGUCAAGUCGGAUGUGAAAUCCCCGGGCUCAACCUGGGAACUGCAUUCGAAACUGGCAGGCUAGAGUCUUGUAGAGGGGGGUAGAAUUCCAGGUGUAGCGGUGAAAUGCGUAGAGAUCUGGAGGAAUACCGGUGGCGAAGGCGGCCCCCUGGACAAAGACUGACGCUCAGGUGCGAAAGCGUGGGGAGCAAACAGGAUUAGAUACCCCGGUAGUCCCUGUCUCUUAUAC
rnacentral:rRNA from 1 species